AAAAUGGAGAGUUUGAUCCUGGCUCAGGAUGAACGCUGGCGGUAUGCUUAACACAUGCAAGUCGAACGGAAUCUUUAGGGAUUUAGUGGCGGACGGGUGAGUAACGCGUAAGAAUCUACCUUCAGGUCGGGGACAACCACUGGAAACGGUGGCUAAUACCGGAUGUGCCGAGAGGUGAAAGGCUUGCUGCCUGAAGA
rnacentral:rRNA from 1 species